rnacentral:lncRNA from 1 species
AACAUUAUCAACAAGGGUUGAAGGUGUGAUUUGUAUUUUACCGAUACCAAUGAUGUAACCUUGGUUAUUGUCUCCAAAAGUGAUAAUUGCUAAAUAAUAUAUAAAUUAAUCUAUUUUACAUAGCACUUAUUACUAUUUUGAUGCACAUACUUCAGAUUUAAAUAUAGAAAAAUGUGUUUCCCUCCAUGAUUGCAUUUUAAUAAAUUAUUAGAGAUAAUUCAAGUUUGAUUUGAUUAUUUAUUAUCGAGCCUAAUGUAUACAGGUCAAGUCAAACUUAUUUGGGAUGAUCUCUGAACCCAAAUCGUAUGCACCCCGCAAAUUAAAUCCUCUCAAAUUCUGAUUCGAUCGUUCAUCCCAACUCCCUUAUUUCUUUUCCAUCAUUGAGCUCAUCCCGAACAAAUUCCUUUCACGAAUCUCUGUGCAUCCCAAAUUGAGUCACCUGCAUUCAAUUUCUUCACACGUUCACCCACUAUAAACAAGUCUUUCUACGUGUCCAACCUUCCUAAAAUUCCUCUCACACAUUAGCUCCUCUGCAUCCACAUCAACCAGCCAAAUGAACCUCUUCAUUACAAACAUAACCCCAUGUCCAAAGAAUAGAAGCCCGUGUAAACCUCCCAGCUUAACAAAAUGAGUUCAAGCCCUCUCUUUCAUUCUCCCAAACUCCUUAUCACAUCCGUAGAUCAGCUUCCAUCCCAACCUCCAGAUUUCCCCUCA